AUUGAACGCUGGCGGCAGGCCUAACACAUGCAAGUCGAGCGGAAGCAGGGAGCUUGCUCCUGGAUUCAGCGGCGGACGGGUGAGUAAUGCCUAGGAAUCUGCCUGGUAGUGGGGGAUAACGUCCGGAAACGGGCGCUAAUACCGCAUACGUCCUGAGGGAGAAAGUGGGGGAUCUUCGGACCUCACGCUAUCAGAUGAUCCUAGGUCGGAUUAGCUAGUUGGUGGGGUAAAGGCCUACCAAGGCGACGAUCCGUAACUGGUCUGAGAGGAUGAUCAGUCACACUGGAACUGAGACACGGUCCAGACUCCUACGGGAGGCAGCAGUGGGGAAUAUUGGACAAUGGGCGAAAGCCUGAUCCAGCCAUGCCGCGUGUGUGAAGAAGGUCUUCGGAUUGUAAAGCACUUUAAGUUGGGAGGAAGGGCAGUAAGUUAAUACCUUGCUGUUUUGACGUUACCAACAGAAUAAGCACCGGCUAACUUCGUG
rnacentral:rRNA from 1 species